AGGGUGUAAACGCUGCGGGCUUGGUGUUGGGGGUCCUUUGAGGGCGCCCAGUGCCGGAGAGAAGUUGUUAAGCCUGCUGCUUGGGAGUACGUCCGCAAGGAUGAAACUUAAAGGAACUGGCGGGGGAGCACCGCAACGGGAGGAGCGUGCGGUUCAAUUGGAUUCAACGCCGGACAACUCACCAGGAGCGACGGUUACAUGAAGGCCAGGCUGAUGACCUUGCCUGAUUUUCCGAGAGGUGGUGCAUGGCGUCAGUGACU
rnacentral:rRNA from 1 species